rnacentral:rRNA from 1 species
UACAGGGGAUGCAAGUGUUAUCCGGAAUUAUUGGGCGUAAAGCGUCUGCAGGUGGAUUUUUAAGUCUUUUGUUAAAUCUCUGGGCUUAACCUAGAAUAUGCAAAGGAAACUAUUUGUCUUGAGUAUGGUAGAGGUAAAGGGAAUUUCCAGUGGAGCGGUGAAAUGCUUAGAUAUUGGAAAGAACACCAACAGCGAAGGCACUUUACUGGGCCAGUACUGACACUCAGAGACGAAAGCUAGGGGAGCAAACGGG